UAUAACUGUUUUGACUUUUCAUCUUAUUUAAAACUUUUUUAUGAUUUAUAUUUUUAUUCUCACUGUAUGAUAAAACAUGAAUAAUACUUUAUGCGUGACUAAUUUUUUUAAAUUUUUUUACAAAUUUUUCAAAAUAAGAGGAAUAUUUAAACGUCGUACACGGAAA
rnacentral:pre_miRNA from 1 species